UUCGCUCGCUCCUCCCUUCUCAAAGAGUUUGCUGGGGAUGGCUUUCUGGGGCGUGCCUGCUUCCUUCUCUAGGUCAGGUGAGUGACUGGGUGAGUGAGGGUUGUUUCUCGCUGUCACGGAGCCACCUCGAUUUUCCGCGGUCUUCCUGUGCUUGGAGCGCUACCUGGAGUCAACAACGCUACGGAAUUCCGCGAGGUGAGGCCCAGGUGGGUGGAUCUUUACGCAACGGAGCCACCUCUGAACGCUCCGCGCGAGUCUCCUGGAUGCGCGAAUCUGGACUGCCGGUGGUAUCGCUGGGGCUCGAACACCAGCCUUCGCCUCCUGGGGAUCCCCCAGGGCUGCAGAAAAGCAAGGGGGAAUCCGACACAGCUAGUACCGUGAACAUUAGGCCGAAAUUGGAACUGAAAUGCGUUUACAAAAUACCUUUGUUGUUUCCCUCUCUGGCUUUCUCCAUUCUGUUAAAUGAGGACGUUGGACUGCUUCAGCACAUCUCGUUGUUUUCAGGCAUGGACUCCGUUGAGAAUCUGGACUCCGACGGUUGCUUGGAUGGCAGACAGAGAAGGGAUGGGCUGAGCAACGGCUGCUACUCCCUCCAACACCAGCUCACUCACCAUGCCCCAGUUCCACGUCCGCACUUCUCAGAGCUUUGUGGGAAAAGAUGCUCUUCCUCAGUAAAAUGGGCUCGAGUUGGUUCUGGCCAACCUUUGUGUGAGGUUGUCACUUGAACCAAAACUGGACCCUCCCACUCCCCAGUACCUUAGCUAUAAUCACCUAAUUGGAUAGGCUGCUGAAAAUAGCUUGGUAUGUUCAACUUAACUAUAGCCAGACUUUGGAAUGCCUGGCCUAUGUCUGGGGAUGGAAUCUACAGGUUAUUUUAUAAGAUUGUUAAAGCAUGUCUUGGGCCCUGGGUACCUCUUUAAAUCCUCCUUGUUCAUACCAGAGGCUCAGUAACUGACAAGGGAUGAAAGAAACCUGUUAAUUGUUAAGUCCCAACAUCAAACCAAAUUCUAAUGAUGGCUCCCCGCUUCUUUGCAGCAACCAUGCACGUGUUUGCACGUUUAAUAUUCCUGUAAUUUUACACAACAGAUGAGGAUGACUGGGAUUCAGAUAUUAGCUUGUUCUAGCUCCCUUCUUCUGUGUCACACAGUGCUAGGAAGUGACCGAAUCAGGAUUUAAACAGUCUCAAAAGCCUGGCAGUCCACUGCUUACCAUCUCUCAGUAUAUCUUAGAAUAAGAAGCAGGAAAAUAUGAUGCAUUUUUUUCCCCUCAGAAGUUGCCAAGUGAAUUUCAUUAAGACCAAAUACAUGUUCUUAAGCUGUUAGUCAAAAAUACUGCUUCAGAUAAAACCACACAACCUUGAAGGCAGGGACUGUAUCUAGUUGAGUUGAAUUCUGGAGGUGAGUAGGUGCUGUGCUGUGUACAGUUUUGGUGCAUGCUUCAUUUUAUCUCAUUUCCAUUUAUGAUGGCAUUAAAUACUAAAAACUAAA
ensembl:lncRNA uncharacterized LOC106506689